CUGUAUAGAUAAAAUGAUGUGGGUACAUCUUGCAAAUCUAUUGAUAACUUUAAAAUAUUUUCAAAAACGAAACUCCCUUUAUUUAAUUAUCAAAUUGGCGUGUUAAACUUGCAGAGUACUAUUCACAACAUUGGCACACUCAAAGAGGCUUGCGAAGGAAGUGAUGAGGUACGUAAGCGGCAACUUAUUGAUAAGUGCUACGAUGACGAAGAAGAGAGCGACACUGAUUAUGAGGACGCCCAGGAAACGGUAAGUAUAGUAUUCUUAACAAUGCCCAGAUGUAUAGAUAUACUUUAAUGACUUCAAAGAACCCUUUUCUUAGAAAGCUGUUAAUUUUAUUUUCCUUGAAGGAAUCUAUACUUAUAAGCACAUCCAACCAUCUCGUUAAACAUACAUGUUAAAAAAAUGUCUGAUUAUAUAUGUCGAUUUAAAACUAAAAUGAGAUCUAGUUAAUCAAUGUCGCGUACGUUAACUUCGUAAAUUGUGCUCCACAAUAUGCAAGUUUGGAAUGGAAAAGGUAAUGUUUAUGUAUAUGCGAUAAGUUUGUAAACUGGGGUCACAGACACACAUUUACUUCAUUUUGUUACAGUAUGAUUUUAUACUAAUUGGAACAGGUAAAGCGAGUAAAAUUAUAAAUCAGUUAACCUAGACACUUAGUAGAUUUUGGUUGUUAUCCUUCCUUAUCCGGGGUUCACACAAUAUAAACCCGAAUCCUGAAUCCUUGAUGAAGGGAUUAGGAAGACACCCAUGUUUACUUCAUUUCAUCGAUCCUCGAGUGAACAAAUUUUGUGUCUUGUGUUGUAUUGUGCUGUUUUGGCAAUUGGUCACUUGCCUUAAAUUAAUGACUUGAUUUAUCACCUGGUGUUUCUAUAGUUUCUUAAUUUUAUAUUUGAUAGGCUGAUGACACCUUCUGUUUGUAUGUAAUGAAAAUAUGGGUGUGACAUCCCACAAUUUGUUUUUUACAUGCAAUUUUUUCUUCAGGCUAGGGUCUUUUUUCCUGGGCCUAAAAAUACCCUGCAAAAAGUUUGUGUAUGGGAAAAUUAAACAACAGUUUCCUUAACUGCAGAAAUACACAACUAAUUACAAUACCAAUAACAUGUUACAGCAUAUACUAAGCUGUUACAUAUCAUUCAAGCCAUCGGAGGGGGAGGAUGAGGGGUCACCCACCAAUGACCAGCAAUCACCAAAAAAGAACAGCGGAAACAGCAACAAUCAACAAAAGGAGCUACCCAGCAACAACAAAAGAGAAGAAGCACCCAGAUCAAGAAUAAAUAGACAUCAUGAACGGACAAUGACAUUGAAUUCAGCGGGAGUUAUCUGACAGGAAAUACAAAUAAGUACCAACUAUGAUGGCGAUUGAUAUGUACUGAAGAAUACGAGUUGUAUUUUUAUAAGUAUCUUGAAAAUGUCAACUGGUGUGAAAGAAACAAUAAAAUGACAUACUUUGAGGCAUUCCUCGAUCAACUGGGUGAAGUCGUCUUUAUUUUAAUAAAUCAAAUUUAAUGAUAUGCAUAUGCUAUUAUCAAUCAUGUGUGGUUAUAUUCAAUGCAUUUGUUGUAUGAGUUACUUAUACGUAGUGGGUUUGGAUUACAGUCGACAGUUCUCAUAGAAUAGGAAAAAAAUGCUAUAUUUGUUGGGAAAAAGAAAAUCACGGGAGUGUAUAAUAGGGUCUGAAGGCGGAAAGAAUUAAUACAUCAAGAGAACAUGAUUCUCAUUCAAUAAACAUGACCAUUUUCAAAUGUAUCGCAAUCUUAUUAGUGUCUUAUAUGCGAUUAGUCGUUACGUUGUUUUUAAUCAAUUGCUUGAUUUGUAUGUGUGAGUUGUGAGCUGUAAAAGGAAAUAGAUACCCAUACUUAUACAUCUUUUGAUUGUUAUUAUUAUAUGUAUUUAUCUGUCGUUAUUAUGCAAUGCAUGAACCAUAAAUUAUUAUUGUAAUGUAACAUUGUCAUAUUUGAAAAAAACAACACACUGUUACGAACAACACUGUUACAUGUUACGAUAAUGAAUAUAUAAAACAAAAUUAUGUUACAUUUGGAUAAAUUCUAUGUAAGUGUAUCUAUGUAAGUGUAUUUGAGUUCAUGUGCUUGCUUGCGUCAGUUUGCUCGUAUGUUCAUGUAUACUGACCAGCACUUAUAUACACACAUAUAAACUUUCAAGAAAAUACUUAUUUGUUACACGUUAUAUUGGUAUAUUAUAAUAUUAUGUUUUAAACGAAUGUGAUUAUUGUGACAUUGUAUAUAUUCUUUAAUGUAUUCAUUUAAUGGCUGAUUGUAAACGCCCAUUUAAUUCGCUUCUUUAAUAAAGGUAAUAAGAUAUUAUAAAAACAGA